UACGUAGGCAGCGAGCGUUGUUCGGAGUUACUGGGCGUAAAGGGUGCGUAGGCGGUUCGUUAAGUCGGUGGUGAAAUCCUGGAGCUCAACUCCAGAACUGCCUUCGAUACUGGAAGACUUGAGUCCGGGAGAGGUGAGUGGAACUGCGAGUGUAGAGGUGAAAUUCGUAGAUAUUCGCAAGAACACCAGUGGCGAAGGCGGCUCACUGGCCCGGUACUGACGCUGAGGUGCGAAAGCGUGGGGAGCAAACAGG
rnacentral:rRNA from 1 species